rnacentral:tRNA from 1 species
AAAAAGGUAAGCUAAAUAUAAGCUAAUGGGUUCAUACCCCGUAAAUAGGAUUACCUCCUUUUUA